GAAGUGCGAAAAGUGUCAUGACUUGCAGAUUCCCGAGAGCUGACAAAUUUCUGAAUGCAAAUGGCGGCUGUCCAACAGCCAUGUAUUGCAGAGUGUAGUUGUUCAUACUCAUCAUCCCCUUCCACACAUGAUAUAUCGUGUGGAAGAGCGGGAUCUGCGCUUGCGAUCGCCGCGAGCGUGAAAAUCGGGAGUACAACCUCUCUCUCACGAGAGAGGUUGGCAACUUCGGACACGCCAUCCCCGGCACUAGUUGGGGUCGAGCGAGAGGAAGUUGAAUAUCCCGUUUGUGUCUGCCCAACAGCACAACUCUUUCGGCAGCCACCUCUGCGAUGCAGGAGAACCCGCUGAACUUAA
rnacentral:misc_RNA from 1 species